rnacentral:rRNA from 1 species
AUUGAACGCUGGCGGCAUGCUUUACACAUGCAAGUCGAACGGUAACAGGCCUUCGGGUGCUGACGAGUGGCGAACGGGUGCGUAAUGCAACGGAACGUACCCAGAGGUGGGGGAUAACGCAGCGAAAGCUGUGCUAAUACCGCAUGUGAUCUGAGGAUGAAAGCGGGGGACCGAGCAGCAAAGUUUGGCCUUGCGCCUUUGGAGCGGCCGAUGCCGGAUUAGCUAGUUGGUGGGGUAAAGGCCUACCAAGGCGACGAUCCGUAGCUGGUCUGAGAGGACGACCAGCCACACUGGGACUGAGACACGGCCCAGACUCCUACGGGAGGCAGCAGUGGGGAAUUUUGGAGAAUGGGCGCAAGCCUGAUCCAGCAAUGCCGCGUGCGGGAAGAAGGCCUUCGGGUUGUAAACCGCUUUUGGCAGGAACGAAACGGUGUCCGCUAAUACCGGGCGCUAAUGACGGUACCUGCAGAAUAAGCACCGGCUAACUACGUG